CAGCAGCCGCGGUAAUACGAAGGGGGCUAGCGUUGUUCGGAAUUACUGGGCGUAAAGCGCACGUAGGCGGACAUUUAAGUCAGGGGUGAAAUCCCGGGGCUCAACCUCGGAACUGCCUUUGAUACUGGGUGUCUCGAGUCCGGAAGAGGUAAGUGGAACUGCGAGUGUAGAGGUGAAAUUCGUAGAUAUUCGCAAGAACACCAGUGGCGAAGGCGGCUUACUGGUCCGGUACUGACGCUGAGGUGCGAAAGCGUGGGGAGCAAACAGGAUUAGAUACCCCCGUAGUCCCUGUCUCUUAUAC
rnacentral:rRNA from 1 species